UUUUUUAUUGUUGGUAACUAGUUAAAAAUAAAAUGAACACAUUUUGGGAAGGAGUGGCAAAGGAAAGAAAUCUAUUGACUUUAUUUGGUCCACGCUGUCAGUUUGUGAUUUCUAUGUUAACAGAAGGAAUGAAAAUGUUUACUUGUGCAUGUGGCUGCCUGGGGUGGAGAGAUGUGGCAGGAAAAAGGGAGGGACAGCAGAGAGAUAACUGGAGCUGGGGGAUCCACAGGGCCUGGCCUGGAAGUCAGGUGCAUCUGACACAGACCACAGCGGGUCUGUGGAGGGACGGCUCCCCCAUUCUGCGAAGACCUCCUCGUCCUUGAAAGUCCCUGCAAUCAAGUUUGCUAGAGGCACUGCUUUGGAAUUUUUUCUUUAAUUACCUACUUAAAAAAGAAUGUUUUCCUGAUUAUAAAAUUAAUACAGCUUUAUGUUGGAAAAUUAGGAAAACUCAGAGAAGGGGAAAGGAGGAAAGAAUGCCUCCCUAAACCCUUUUUCUAAAGACACCUCAAAUAUUUUGGUGAGCUUCCAUCCAGUCUUUUUAUCCACCUGUCUAUCCACCUAUGUAAACAAAAUUGUGGCUCUUUUUAUACACUUUCAACUAGCUUUCCCCUCUACUUUAAUUUUGUUAUGAAUGUAUUCCCUUGUCAUUGAAUAACUUGGAAACUGUGAUUUUUGAUAACUCCACUGUAUUCAAUUAUUUGAAAUUUAGCAACAAUUCUGUUGAAUGUUUUAUGUUUAAAAUUUCUCACUAUUAUGGAUAAUGCUGUGAUGAGAAUGCUUGACCACACGUCUGUCUCAUUAAUUCCUGGAAGUGAGAAUACUUGAGCAAAGGGUGUUUAAGGCUUGAUUUUUAUCAUCAACUUCUUCUCCAGAAAGACUACCAAUUUACAUUCCUGUCACCAGCAGUGGAAAAUUCUUGCCUCAUUGCAGCCUUGUGGGCAUUGAGUAUUAUCAUUUUAAAAAUCUUUGCAAGUUUAAAGGCAAAAAAAGUAUCUUAUUGUCAUCUAAAACGCAUUUAUGUUAUUAUGAAUAGUGUUAAACAUGUUUUCUCUUUUUUGCCUUGUUAACUUUUCUGAUAACUGCUUUUUGUUAUUUGCACAUUUUUUCCUACUGUAAUUUUCUUCGUAACGGUUUGCCUGGUAGAUGUGUUACAGGGAUAUUUUCCAGUUUGUCAUUGCUUUUUAAUUUUGUAUGUGAUGAUAAUUGACAUAGAACGGUUUACAGUUUCAAAUCUACCAUUCUUUUAUUUUGAUUCCUACCAAGCUUUUAUGCCUAGAAAGGUCUUUCUCUACCUGUUCCAUUUAUCUAUUGCUGCAUAACAAAUGACCCCAAAUUUACUGCUUAAAACAAUAAUCAUUUAAUUAUAUUUAUAUUUGUAGGGCAGGGAACUGGGUAGGGUCAGCUGGUGAUUUUUCUGCUUCACUCGGUGUGGACAGAAGGCAUUCAGUGUUAAUCAGCUGACUGACUAGGAGAGUCCAAGAUGGCGUCACUCACAUGUCUGGGGCCUUGUGGGGACGGCUAGAAGCCUGGGCUCAGCAGGGACUGUCCACUGAGUGCUUCCUUGUGGCCUGUCCGGCACGGAGGCCUUGGGGUAGUUAGAAUUCUCACAUGGCAGCUCAGAGCUCCAACAGUGAGUGUUCAGCAAACAAAGCAGACGCUGUAAGCCCCUUUAUGACAGCCUGGGACGUCAGCUGCUCUGUCAGUCGGGGCAGCCUCAAGCCUUCCCAGAUUCAAGUGAGCUUCGUGGGAGAUGUAGUGUAGAAUUCGUGGCCAUAUUUUCCUAUUGCCUCUUUACCCCACGGUAAGUUAAAUGCACAUUUACAUUUUUUUCCUAGCCUGUUUAUGCUGCUGUUACUGGUCUCUUUCUUUUUCUUGCUUUUUAUAAACAUUAAAUUCUUAAUCCGUCUAGAAAGUAGUUUUACACAGACUUAUAAUGAGGUUCAAAUUUGAAUAUUUCCCAUUAAUAAAUGAUUUCACUAUAACCAUUUCAUGAAUAACCAUCUCUUUCCUGAGGGCCACUAACUUUUAUAGAUACUAGGGCCUGUGUAAAUAUAUUGUUAAUUGAGGAAAAAUACCCUUCACCUUUCUCUUGACUUUUCUAGCAUUCUUCUUCCUCAGGUAAGGGAGAACCUCCUGGUUAAGAUCAGCUUACAGUCUGACAAGCACCAACCACAGCACUGUGGCUGGGCUGGCCAGCAGUGGUCUUUCUGGAAGGUCUCUCUCUGUGCCUCUGGGCCUGGCUGUAGACCUAACUGGAGGGGUUCCUACUUUUCAGUCUACUUUUCACAAUAUCGGGCUCUCCCACUGUGGCAGGGCCGUUUGCCUUGGGCUGCUGCCCUCGGGUGUGUCUGAGGUGGUUUUGUUGUUGUGAUUCCAAGUGCAAUAGUUCCUGGGGAAGAUUGCUUCUGUGAUGAAGUAACUUGACUGCUUCUAGGGCGAGAAGCAUUAGCUUGCUUUUGUUAAUGAACUUUGUUAACAAAGAGGGAAAUUCCAGUGCCUGGGGUUGUUUCCCCAGAACCUCCGUGUCUGUCUGGGUGAUGUCUAAUGCUGGCUCCACCCAACAUUCCUCCAUCCCACGGGGACCCUCUGUCCUGGCUCCCAGCUUCCUCACCCACAUCUCUACUUCCUCCUCUCUCUACCAUGGAGAAGUGCAGAGCUAAGCUAUGCUGUGGCUCUCUCAGUACUGUGUCCUUCUGCUUGGUCAUCCAUUUCAUUAAUAGCUACCCACACUAUUGCUGCUGCUACCCACCUCCUUCUGCAUCCCAUAUUCUGUUAGCUCUACUACCUUACCUUACUGAAUUCCACCCAGCAGUUUGGUGAGGUAGCUGCUGUUAUUCCCACUUUAGAGAUAAGUGGAUGGUGGCUUAGAGAUAUUAAUGCAUUUGAGCCAUGUAGUUAGUAAGUGGUGGAGCGGGAACUUUAACUUUGGUCACCUGCUGAAUUUUUAAACGCUGAAUGAUACUUGCUCUCUUCUCUCAUCUUAAUCCCCAGUUCCUAACUAUGGAUGGGCAUUUCCACUUCUCUUCCCUCAAAAAGGGCCACACACAGCUGAUACCAUGGGCCCUAGGAGAAGGACACCUGGCGAGGACAUCUAAUCCUGUCUGGCAGGAACAUUUGAGACUCAGGACUCCUGAAAGUUUACUUACCUCAUCCCUCCGCUUUCAGCCAACUCUUGCUGACAGGCUCUUCCAGAGAAAGUUUGCCCUGUGACCUGAGCCAGAACACACCCCAACCCUCUCUGGAGAGAAGCAGAGUCGGGGAAAGAAGAGAUUUCAUAGUGUGGACAGUGUUGGCUCUUCAGCGCCGAGGCCUCUCGAGCGUUGGUUUGCGUUUCUCACAGGCGGAGAGCACAGCAGGAAGGCCUGCUGCAGGAAGAGGAAGGACUUAAGGGGGAGGACUUCCAGGCAGGGAGGAGGUAGACAAGUCAGAGGAGGCUCCCAGAGGCUGUGUCCUUUUCUGCCUUUUGGCCUUUCUGAGAAUAGCAAGAUGGAGAUCUGAGCUUUUAGCUCCCAAGGUCCUGCCAGAUCCCAGAAAGCACAAAUCGGAGAUGGGCCAACCUAAGGUAAAGUGAAUAAAUAAUGAGUGAUCAGGGAGCUGCAACCUGACCAUCAAAUUUUAUGCUUAAUUUAAAUCUUAGAGAGGAAAACUUAUAAUCGUGUCUUCAGGCUCAGUUUCCUAACAUAUUUCUCUUUGUAAAAGUACUAUUUUUUUCAUAAGCAACUGGAAGAUUUCAAGUGUUUCCAAAGAACCUUUAUAAAAUCCCUAGCAGAGUCUCCAGUAAAGCUGUAAAUUGUAUUUCUUGUCCUUAAAAAAAAUUAUUGUGUUCUGUUCUCCAGAGGGAGGAAUUGGGCAAUUUUGUAUGAGGGACUGAAACUCAGGCCAAAUAUCACCAUUUCAGUCUUGACAUUUAUCUGGAAUCAGGAUGUGCAUACCAUCAAACCAUGUGACUUGGCACUACAAGAAGAUUUUGUUUUCUUUACACUGGUGAGCCUGCUUCCGUACUUUGUAAACUAGAGAUCCUGGCAAGGCCUUGCUCCUAGCCCACAUGGGUAUCGAUGGUAGAGCCUUUCUGAGGAAAUGCUUUUGGAGGGGCUUUAUCUCUUCAACCAGAGUAUAGCUCUGACUAAGCAGAAUCUUUGUCUUAGAAUGGUUUGAUUUUUCUAAGCCUAAAAUUGGCGUAAUUUCACUCAUUCCUUCCUUAGAGAGAUCAAUGGCGCCAACCUUCUCUGUUGCAGACACUGUUGGUUGCCUACCAGGGAGCCAUUUCUCCCUUUCUACCUUGCUGUCAAAAGCCUGAUUUUGGUUGCCCUCCUCUUAGGAGUUAUAGGGGUUAUGCCCUUUUUAGGGACUACCCAACCCUAGAGGGUGAGCCUUUAUUGAUUUUGGCCAUUGUGGUAGCCUUGCCUUGCCUAGCAAUUGUUUAAGCAUGGGUAGAUUGGGCUGAUUCUGGCCAAGCAGACAUGAGGGACGUCUGCUGGAGGAACACAAGCCAGGGGCAUUCCUUUUUUCUUUCUCUGAAGAUUGUUGACAGUAUGUGAGGCCCAACCUACAUCAGAUCUUGGGACUGUGGGAGAAAGCUGCAGAACAGCUGAGUUACAUCCAUGAUGUCUCUAUGUCAAUGAAUUAACCUACUCUGAAACUGUCCUACCUCCAGACUUCACGUGAUGCAAAUAAUAAAUAUUCUUCUUGUUUAAGCCACUUGUAGUUGGACCUUCUAUCCUUUGCUGCCCAAAGCAUCUUACACUGUGCGAGGUGCUUGAGAAAGAAGGAAACAUGGUCUUUGUCCACAAGUAGCAUACAAUCUAGGUAACCAGUCUCAGCUUCCACUUUCCUGUCAGCCCCAAUCUUAAUCCCCUGAUGGUUUGAACAUCUCCUUUCGACUCCUAAAUUAUGGCAUCACUGUAGUAUAAAUGCACGCAUGCCAGCUGCUCUUACAUAUAUCCCACAUGAUCUCCUUAUUAUCAUGAUUAAGGAAUGUAGUCAGUUUAAGUCGGCGAAGAGGUAUCAAGCACCUACUACGAGCCAGAUGGUGUGGGUGUACAAAGGUGGAUGAGAUAUCCUGUAACCCUAGGAAACAACAGCUUAGUGGGGGCUAUGUAAUUUGCACACUGAAAGUCAGAGCAAGCAUCGAGGUGACAAGCAGCAUUUGAAUGGUGCAGACAAUAAAUGCUAGGGGAGUUAUUCAGUUCAGCACAUAUUUGUUGAGCACUUCCAUGUGUCAGGUACUGACUCAGGUCCCUGGGACACAGGAAUGAAUAAGUUCAUUUUCCUCCCUUACAGGAGCUAAUGGUGAAAUAAUAAUGAUACAGUCAUAUUAAUUAUAUUAGCUAACAGUUAUUGAGCACUAAUUAUUAUUAAACACUUCUAUGUGCUUUCCGUAUGAUAGCUCAUUUAUUAAUUAAUUCAAUUCUGUGAGGUAGAUACUAAUAUUAUCCCCAUUUACAGAUGAGGAGACUGAGGCAUCCAGAAGCUAAGUAAGUUUCCCAAGGUGGUCACAGAGUUAGUGUGAUAGGCAACAUAUUAAUGGAAACUCUGUUUACCAAUCUUAACUAUAAUACAAUUAGACAUGGAAAAACUGGGAUCUUCAGACAGAGGAGAUAUGGUAACAAAUGGACUGCGAGCCCACUAUGGGACAGCAAGGAGGUUAGGUUGCCUACACAUUCCCCCAGCACAGCUGGAAACCAUGGAGCCCCAGACCUCGGGAUGGCUGUGAGAUUGUGAUUUAUGGUAAGAAAUAUAUCAUAUUGGUCUUGUCCCUUUUCCCAGCACAGAGCUCUGAAAACCCUUGGAAUUUCCUAAGAGAUGAGAGUGAUAAAGAUGAAAAUGGAGUCUUUCAUUAUUCGUAACAAGCCUCUUUCAACCACACCUGAGUUUGUUAAUGAACUGAUUUUUGGAAAACUCUUAGAUAACUUCACAAUGGGAGCUGGUUGCCAGGAAAACCAACCACAGAAUUAGAGGGUUGGAAGUUUUAGAUCCUCCACCUCUGCAGAGAGGAGAAGGGCUGGAGGUUGAAUCAAUCGUCAAUAGCCAAUGAUUUAAUCAAUCAUGCCUGUGUAAUGAAACCUCUAUGAAAAUCCCUAAGUACAGGAUUCAGAGAGCUUCCACAUUGGUGAACAAGAAUGCCUCCAGGUGCCGGGAGGGUGACACACCGCCAACUUCACGAGGACAGAAGCUCCUGCUCUAGGAACCCUUCUGGACCUUGUCCUAUGCGUCUCUUCAUAUGGCUGUUCACUUGUAUGCUUUAAUAUCUUUUGUAACAAGUCAGUAAUAGUAAACUGUUUUCCUGAAUUCUGUGAGCCAUUCUAGCAAAUUAUCAAACCCGAGGAGGGGGUCAUGGGAACCUCCAAUUUAUAGCUGGUCUGUGAGAGCACGGGAGACAGCCUGGGACUUGUGACUGCCAUCUGAAGGGAAAGUGGUCCUGUGGGAACCCAUGCUGUCUCUAGGGAGAUAAUGUCAGAACUGAGUUGAAUUGUAGGACACCCCGCUGGCGUCAAAGAAUGGCUCGGUGUGGGGCAAACCCUCACACAUUUGGAGUACAGAGGUGUUCUGUUGGGGAGAGAAGGACAGGGUUUUCUCUUUCAGCAGCAUAUGACCUACAUUUCAUAGAGGGUACAAUCUGCCACCUACUAAGCUGUGAGCUCUAAAAUGAGUGGUUUCUUUCGAUUGUAAGGACAUAUUUCUCCCAGGAACAGGGCUCUUGAAUUCACCGUGAUUCCCAACCUGCCCUCUGUACAUUUUCCUUCAUUCCUGGUCCAUUUCAUACCUUAUUCUGCUGGUUGGAACCAAUUAAUCUGUCCCCUGCCACACACAUACACUUACCUGAUAUCCCAAGAUGUUUCUAGCGCUCUUCUUAGAAGAAAAUGCUCCUCAGCCUGAGAUGGGCAAAUAGGAAGGAGAGCCAGAGAGCAAGGGAUAAAUUCUCUCAAGGCAUUCAUUCAUUCACUCAUUCAUUCAUCCAUUCAACGAGUGUUUCCUGAGGCCCUCCUUGGCGUAAGUUCUGUAGUCGGCACUAGAGACCCAGUCAGGAACAAGGUUAACAUGGUGUGUGCUCUCAGGCAUUUUCAGUCUACUGAGACAGACCCAGAAGGCAACAAAACACUCAAUUAUAAAUUCCAAUAAGAGCUGCAAAGGAUAAAGUAUAGAUAAUAUAAAAGAGACAAAAGGUGGGGGGCAAAUCUACCACAUUUUUGUGGUCAAGGAAGGAGGUCACAUUAAUACAAGACCUGAUGGUAAAAAGAGACUUGUGUGUUCAAGAAAUUGAUUAAGAUAGGUCCUGUGGCUGGCAUAUUGAGGGAGAGGAGAGAAUUAGGAAUCAGGAAAUGAGAAUGGAGAAGUGGGCAGGAGCUGUGGGAAGGGUUUUGGAUCUUAGGGAGAAGUCACAGGAAGGCAACAUGCAAUGUCAACUCCCUCAUCUCUGUCAGAAACGACAUCAUGUCCCUUCUAGAGUGAGGGAAAGAAUGCUGGAGUGGAGAGUGAUGCGGGAUGAGUGUUUGAUUUCCUCUGAAAUCUCUGGGCUUUUGAAAGAACUGUGUCUGGCUGUAAAUUAUCUGUGUUGAGAAUGGGAUUUACCAUUCCAGGAUUAGCGCUAUUCAUAUAAUGAAAUGGCCUUCAAAGGAGAACUUAAAGAAAGAAUGUUUUAAAAGGAAGUUCUGAUUGGAGCAAUUGUGAAAUCUUCAGAAAUGACUCAUCUCCCACUGAACUUCCUCUAGUGGCACAGCCAGAGUGAGGCAGGGUCAAAAUAAACACAUAUUUAUUGAGCAUUUACGCCAUGCUCAGCACUGUGAUAGAUGCUGCAGUGGCUGCAAAAAUGUAAAAGUGGUCCCUGUCCUCAAGGACUUUAAAAGAUAUUAUAGUGGGGAUAGCAGCAAGAGUACUUCAGAACAAUCCCGUAACAAACAGCUAAAGUGUGUACAACCUCCAUUUGGUGUUUCUAACUGACACGUCACACAGAAUUGAAACCGGUCAAGGGAUGAGGACUUGGAGAGUAGUUUAUGAAUCACUAAUGAGGCUUGGCUAAGCAAGAAAGCUGAGAUUCUCCUUAUACGCUGUCCUUCCCUCCCACAGGCUUAUUCCAGACGCCUGGGAUAGAGCAGCCAACUGGGAUGGUGUGUGUUUGCCCACCCAAUGCUUUUAUCAUUGGCAUGACGCUUGUGCACACAUUGGGAACCCUGCCUGUCACGGUCAUUUCCCAAACUUUCAGUUUUCUUAUAGGGGUACAGGCCUGUCUCCAAUGUCACACUUCCCCUUUUUUGAUACCAGUCAUCUAUUAGGAAGAAGAACAAGGUUGCACAUAGCUUGUGUAGAGAAAACUUAGAUGCUCAUGCUUAAAUGCCUCUGAGGUUGUAGGCCGGCAUGUUAGAGUUCAGAGUCUGGGCCUGUUACCUUGAGAAAGACAUUUGAUCUUAUUCUAUUCAAAUGAACAAGUUGGACCUGAUGAACUCCAGCCAAUGAUGUCUCACUCCAACUAGCUGACCCCUCUCCUCCUGGAAGCAAGAGGCCCUAGCCCCUCCUGAUGGAGAGCCAUUUUAUCUAAUAAAAUAGAGUCCAUCAGAAAGCUCCCAACUGUCCUAUUGGAGGUCACUGAGAGUUCAGUCAUGGUUUUAGUCAAAGAAAAACCAAGUGGUUUGUUCCAGGAUAUGGUUGUCCCACAAAUUCUUUCCCAGUAUCAGCAGGUAAUAUUGGAAUCCGGAAGUAGGAUUGAUGGACUGGGAGCAGGCUCCUGUUUUAAUCACCUAUGAUUCAGUUCUUCAUUCCACAGGCAUGUGUUGGGUGGUUGUUAUGUUCCAGGGCACUGUCACAGACACUGGCCUUAAACUCUUAAGAGUUAGCAUUGCCAUUACACAAGAAGGUUGAUACCUCAAAUGCUCCCUUAAAUCAGAACUCUCAAACUGCUUCAUCCUUCCUGGGAUUCAGGCCUUGGGUCAAAGUGUUGAGUUGUGUUUACAGCCAUUCACCUUGUGAUAUGUUGAAAACACCAUCCAGAAGAGGGUGCUUUUUUGGUUUACAUUAGGCAUCUUCCUUAAUCCCUUAGCAGACCUGCUGGCUAUCCCAAGCAGUGUGACAUCUCUCCCUCAGGCUUCCCACUCCAGUGCAGCCUCAUCCAAAGGGUUCAAAUAUUACUUCUGGAUUCCUGCAUUACCUACAGCGCCAACCAUGCUAGUGCUCAUCCUGGUAAAACUCAGACCAAAGAGAAAUACAAGAAAAUGUGUUGUGCUUGGCUGAUACUGGGAAAGAAUUUGUAGGACAGCCACAUCCUGGAACACACCAUUGAACUUUUCUUUAACUAAAGGCAUGGGUGAAUCCUCAGUGGCCUCUAACAGGACAGUUCUUUCUGAUGGACUCUAUCUUACUGGACAAAAUGGCACUCCACCAGGAGGAGCGAGGGCCCCUUGCUUCCAGGAGAAGUGGAGUCAACUAGUUCUUCCCUCUCCCAGUCAUGUAGAAAACUCAGGAGAUGGUUGUCAAUAAGCAGUUGAAGUUGUGGUCCAAGGUGCACUGUUAUUGGAGUGGUGAGACCUUUAAAUCUGGGUUCCUUCAUUUACUAGUUGUGUGAUGUUAAACAAUUUAAUUUCUUUUAACUCAAAUUUUCUUAUCAAUAAAACAAAUUUACUGUCUAUAUACUAGGCUGUUGAAGAGAAUCAAAUGAAACCAAAUACAUGACAGAUGUGGGUGAGGUAGAAAAGCACUAGGCAGGUGUGAAUCAGUCCUGUUGGACAUACUGCUGAGGUGGGUGACUGGUGUAAUGGUUGCCUUCCUCAACUCAACCACCACCCCCUCUCUGAGGAGUUCCCGGGUCUCAAGAUCCAUGGUUUCUCAUUUUAUCCACUUGAUGCUGUAGGCAUAGGGCCUAGGGCUUAGGACUUUUCAGGGCUCCAUUAAAAUACUUAAGAUAUGUGAGACAUGGAAAAAAUAUAAACUCAGAACAUAACUACAAUAUUAAAAAAGGUUAUGAAUAUUUAAGUAAAUGUCUAAAAUGUGUUUCUUUUAAUUAGUCAACUGCAAUGCAAAUUAACUCUUACUGAGUUGUAUAUCAAUUAUUUUUAACAUGUGAUAAGGGUGCAUCUUAAUAUGCUUGCUAUGAUGAAGGGUAGCACCGCCAAAAGGAAGUUUUUAGGGCCUGUGGGAUAUUAGGCAGCUCUGUCUAUAUCAAUGGAGAAUGUGAACCAGGAACAAAGACCUUUUCUCUAGUCUAAACCCACAUUCACCUAUUAUAGUCUAGUAUCACAUCUAUUGUUAACUGCAUCACUAAAUGCUCUUUGCACUUCUUUUCUUCCUUAUCCGUAUAAGCUACAGAAGAUGAACUGGUUCUAGUUUUAGCCAACUCCAAGAUUAGAUGAGCCCACUUUCUGCAUGUUUUGAGGGAUGUUUAUGUUUCAGGAAGGUCACCUCCAAUCCCCUUCUCCCCAUCGCCCACUCCUGUCCUUCUAUUUUUAUGGGCUGUGGGAUAUUCAUGGGACUCUAGGUUAUUUACAGGUAUUUAUUGAAUUGUGAGACAGCUCUUCGGUCAAUAGGCCUGAGGUGAAGCUAAGAGGCUUUGUGAAAACAGGUGGACAACAUCCUGGGCUCCCUUCUGGCCCCCGCCGCCCUGCUGUCUGAACUUGGGCAAGCCCGUUCGCUGGCUGCUUUCUGUCUGCUUAUCUGUGUAAUGAGAUGUGUAACGUCUCGGGGAGUGGAUGAUCAAUAAGAUCCAACUUUCACAUUCUGGGCUUCUGAUUGCACUUCUGAGUGACUCUGGGGUACAAGUGGUGUCAUAGACACUCAAUAGAGAGACACAUCCAUAACCUGCUCAGGGAGAGAGUUCAGUCUUCAGCUGACCUUGGCUUGUUCCUUUCGUCCAAGUUCAAACAACUUUUCAAAUUCGGAAAGCAGUCUGAUGGACUUGCCUGAUGAAGUGUUGCAUAAAUUAUGUGAUUAAAAGCAAUUGGAAUGAAGCUCUUUCAUCUCUGGAACAGAGAGCCACUUGACAUUUAUUUUUCCCCAGUUAAUCAUCCCACUUUUCCCACAGGGCUGUCUGCGAUGGCGGAUGAGGGAAGAUGGCCUUGCGACUUACUCACUCUGUUGGUUGCCUUUGCUGCUGACACCCAUCAGCUGCACUCUGCUUGCUCAUAGAACCCUGGUUUGGUUCAGGUCCCCGUGUGAGGACACAAUGCUGGGACUGCAGCUGCUAUCUAGACACCAUGAGGACAAACGCCUGCAAGCUGAGGAUAGUAGAGAGAGAAAAUGGAAAGAACCUGGGUCCUCGAUGACAUUUUUGAGCCACUCAUUUAAGUAACCUUGGAAUGUCUCUGCUUUGGAAGCUCUUAUUGUGAGAGAAUAAUUUGUCCCUGUUGCUCGAGGCCACCCUGUUUGGGUUUGCUGUUACAAAAGCCUGCCAACUGCUGAUGAAGCUGCCUCUUUGGCGCCCACAUUUCCCUCCGGCUUGGAGAGCGUUUGGGAGAAGGCAGCACUAAGGCAACGGUGCCCUCAGAGUGCAGGUCUCACGCUAGGGCUUUUAAACCCAUCUGCAAAGGGCGGAGGGGAGGGAAGAAAAACCCUUAAAGCUGCCAGACAAAAAGCUAACAUUUAUUUGAUUUCUUAAGUCUUUAACUUUGAAAUUCAUGUGAAAUUUUUAUUCUAUUUCUUAAUAUCUUUUUCUUCAUGUAAAACUAGUAUUUUACCUACUUGCCAGUUGAAUUACUUAAGUCCCCCACCCCUGCAAAUUUUCAGUGUGAAGUAACACUACCCCGACCCCUGGGAGCGCCUGAUGAUGCCGACAGGUGGGGCGCCUGCUUCCAGGAGCAGUGUGUGGACAGAACUUGCAAAGGGCCACAGGUCCACUGCUGCAAACGUGGAAGAGAUCUAAGCAAGAGGAAGUACCUUGGGAGGAUGAGCAACCUUUCCUUCCUCCAGUCCUCAGCCUGGAAAUUCCAGGCAGGUGGCAGUGACAGAGCGGAGCACAGACCACAUUCCUACCUCAGAUAAGGGCCACAUAGGUGACUCCCGAAAGGGUUGAGCCAUCACGGCUGAGAGCUAAAGGGACCUGCCCCAGGCCAUUGCUCAACUCCAGGGACAGUGUCUCACUUGCACUGUGCCUCAUCGACCCUGGCUGGCUGCAGUUUCAGUCCCAUGAGAAAGGGAUUAUUUGGGGUAAUUUGGUGACAUUAUUUUCGGUAAGUUCUUCCUGUGGGCCCCCCAUCCAGACAGGCUCCUUUGUGGUGAAGUCUAAACUCUCCCUUCAUGAAAAGCCCCCUAGAACGUCAGAAUAUCAGCUCAGCGAAGCCAGGGACUUCACCUGUCCUGUCCCCUGCUGGCUCCCCAGGGCCUAGAACUGCGUCUGGCACAUGGUAUGUGCUUCCUAAGUGUUCUUGGAAUGACUGACUCUGCAGACAUUGAAUUGCGAAUACUUCAAAGGCCAUAGUGGAGCAGGAGAGAGGAAAGUGCUUUGAGGGCAACUGGGCUCUAGGAAGAGUUUGCACCAAAGGAAUGGAGAGGAACAACUGAAGACGGGGCUGUGGAAGCCCGGGGCAGAUCUCUGAAGGCCCACUCCCAGAGGUGCUGCUCUAGUCCUCAAGAGCCAUAUGGGAGGACACAGCUCCUCUUUACUUGUGUGAGCACUUCUGGGCUCCAGGCCUAGGCUAGGGGAUGCUCUUGUGGGCCCGGGACAGAACUGUGCUCUAUCCCCUUAGCACUGCACCCACGGCCCAGCCAGGAGGACCGAAUCUGAUGACAAGAUUUUCCUCAGUCCCUGUUCUAUUACCUUUUCCUGUUCAAUUAUCCAGCAAAUUUUCAAGAUGCUAGUAAACUCAAAGGGGGUGGUUUCCACAUCUGGGAGGAAAGAUUGUGGGAAAGCCCCCAAAUUAUUCCUGGUGAGAGGAGGUUUGGGAGGCAGUGCUGAACCAUUCAACUUGAGAUAGCUGAGCCGGCACAGCGGCGGCGGAAGGGACUCUUGUUAGAGACCAUUCAUGGGCCCUCUGUGCCAAGUAAGUGGCCAGCGGGCACAGCAUCCCAGCCCCCGGUGACCUGGCUGUCUGCUUGGGGGCCUCUAAGUCCUCUGCCCUCUCUCCGUCUCCUCUACCUGGCCUUUCUCUCUCUGGGUUCAAAAACUUCUUGAAUUUUUGGGCUCUGUUCCAUCUGCUCACUCAGAUACCCUGCCUCUCAAAUGAGUAACCAAGGGAAGGAGAAAUUGAGUCAAAGGUUCCUGGCUAAUUAUCUCAGCUGACAUUAUGUAAGCAGCGGGCACAGUGGUUGAACACAAGCCCUGGGGUCAGCCCAGCUGGGUUCCACUCCUGCUACGCCUUUACUAGCUAUCUUACCCUGGACAAUUCACUUAACCUUAGUAGACUGAGGCCUUCUCCUCCACAAAGGAGGUUAAUGAUAGAACAUUAUGGAGCUGUUCUGAGGAUUAAAAUAGACAAUGUAUGUAAGGCAUUUAACACCCAGCUUGAUAUGUAGCAAGUGAUCAGUAAAUGUCAACUAUUUUUAUUUUUGCUUCUCCUUUUCAUUCUUGCUUCUUAUCUCUUUCCUAAGUUGACAAGUACCUUCGCCUCCUCACAGGAUGAGUGUGUUUGCGGGGAGUAAAAGCAAGAAUGGUAGGGGUCAGAGACAUUCUUCUGUCUUAUUUUUCAGGUCAUCAGAUAAAUUUAAAAAAAUACAUAUCACUAUUCACUGAAGACCGGGCAUUUCACAUACUGUAGUGCGUUUGAAGCAUGUCCACAAAUUUUUGACACUCCUUUAAAAGAAGGAGGAGGCUAAUCCCUCUUCCCUUGAUUAUGGGCUGGCAGUAGCCACUGGCUUCUAAGGAAUAGAAGGCAGUGGAAGGAAUGUGCAUGACUUUCAGGGCCAGACUAGUAAAGGGGAUAUAGUUUCACCUGUACAAAAAUACAGAUUCUUGGGAUGUGUGCCUUUGGAGCCCUGAUCUGCCAUGUAGGAAACCCAGUGACCCUGAAGGGGCCGAGCUGGAGAGCCUUAUGGCGAGGUCCCCAAGCAUAGGACAGAUGCCUUGAGAGCCCCAGCUGCUGCAGCCCCCACUCUUGUCUUCCCAGUCCCCAGAGGGAAGCCAUAUGUGAAUGAGAGAACCUCUAAAAUGGCCCCAGCUCCAGCCACUGGCUGACUGCACCCUCCGGAGAGACCUCAGUCAGAGGAGCCUAGCUCCACCGCUCUCAAAAUUCCUCACCCACAAAAACCAUCAUUGGGGUUCAAAGCUACUAGAUUUUGAGCUAAUUUGUCAUGCAUUAAUAGAUUAAAAAACACAGGUUAUCAACUAAUAACUGCAUGACAGGUAUUGCUAUCUCAAUUUUACAAAUGAAGAGACUAAGAUUUAGAGAAUUUAAGAUAUACGAGUAGGAUGACAGUGGGAAAGUCCAGAGCCGGCACGCAAAGGUCCACGUGACUCCAGAGCGGGCGCCCCAUCCCCUGCGCAGGGGCGAGGGGGGCGGGGGCUGCCUCUUUUGACACAGGAGGAGGCUGAAAAAAAUGGGGAAAAAUGCUUUUUUCUGUAUGGGCCUUUCAGGUGUCUCAGUAUUCUGGGAUUAAACACACCGUCGAUCACAGCGUGUUUGGAAGAUCACCGCCUGCUCGACACACUCUCACUGGGCUCAAUGUGGGAGACUGGACGCCCGGCCUGCGGCUGGAUGCUCGGAAGGCUCGGGGUCGGCCAGCGCGCUCAGGGCAGGGCUGCGGGCGGGAGGGGCGUUAGCAGCCCCAGGGGGCCCCCGAGUGCCCAGGGCAGGCCUGCAGCCCCUGUGAAGCAAGGAAGAGCCAUGUGGUGUAUGGUGAAAAUGGUGGAGGGAGACGGGACAAAGAAGGCGGAGGAGUGGGGCAAAGCUGAGAAGGAGGGAGAGGAAACGCCACGACAGAAGCUCCAAAGAGCACUGAGGAAAGUACUCCUGGAGAGGACCAUGAAUGCUCCCUAGAGACACAGUAAGGCUCCCUGCUGCUCCUGAGGGACUCAACUUUCCAUGGGUGUCCCGAGGUGAUCUGGGCCACAGUCCAGGUUAGAAUCGCCAUCGUGACCUCGGAACCGCUGUCCUUCUAAGAUGCGCGCACAGACAUUUCUGAGAAGACAGGGUCUGCUCAUUCAGGGUGACGUCUAUCGAGCACCUUUAUGUGCCGGGGACCAGCUGAUAACGGGAUGUAUAUAAUAUACAUAAAACGUAUUUUCUGUCUUGGAGGAGCUUGGGAUCUGGGGGCGAAUACUAUUUUUUCGAGACCUAUUGUGUGCCAACCCCUAUAGAGGAUGAUUUACUCACGUUGUCUCACUUAAUCUCGACGCCAAUCCUAUAAAAUAGGCAUUAUUACCUUUAUAAGUAACUGAACUUAGAGAAAUGAAAUAACAUGCAGCAAGCAAGUGCUUGGGUUUUAACCUGGUUAGUCUAACUCUGAAGCCCAUGGUCAUUCCACUGCUGAGCCUGCCUCUCAGGUAUGUGGGUCCACAUUACAUUUCUGUGUGGAGGGGUAAUGGGACUGUGCACGGAAGGCUUUGAGGCUGCAGAAGAGGAAGAGGUUGGUUCUGCCUUAGAAGAGACCCACGGAGGGGAUGCAGUGGUGUUAGAAGUUUUCAGAUCUGGGCUGUGAAGGAUGAGGAGGAGCUUGGUAUUUGGAGGAGGGCGUUGUGGGCAGAGAGGGCAGUGUGUGAGGGAAGGAAGGCAGGGAGGUGACCCCUCAGAGACAGGCCUGGGCCCUGUGUUUCUUGUUGAAGGCUUAUGGAUGUCCCUGCAAUGGAGGCACCGAGGUUUUUAAGCGGGAAAGGUACGUGGUCAGAUUCGCCUUCUACAAAUGUCAGCCCCGUGGCUCUGUGGAGUACUGCUGGGAGCAGCAAGGGUUUGGACCUUCUCCCUGGGCUAUUGUACUGAUCCCUGAACUUCAGAAUUCUCCUGUUGAGAUGUGUGAUUCUUUCUCCUGCUUGCAAACCCUCUUCUCCCUCUGGGGCCCUAACUUACUGAACAGAUCAUAUCAUUCCUCUGCUCAAACCAUGCCAUAGUUUUCAUGAGAGCAAAAGGCAAAGUCCUCACAGUGUCCAACAGGGCCAGUCACAAGCUGACCCCAUUACCUCUUUGAGGUUUGCCCAUCACUCUUCCUUUGGCUCCCGCUGCUGCAGCCACGCUGGCCCCCAUGUGUUCCUCCAGCACUCCAGGCACACUCCCAUGGUGAGGCCUUUGCCCCAGCCUUGCCCCUCACACAUCCUCACCUCCCACCAGUCUUUGCUCAAGUCUUCCCUUCUCCAUGAGGCCCAGCCUGACCACCAUUUUCAACACUGCAGCCGCCCCUUCCCCUGUCCACUGCAGUCCUGGUCCUCUUUGCCCAGCUCUUCUUUUUUCUCCGUAGCAGCUAUCACCUGGCGUGCAGUGUAAUUGGCUUGUUAUUAUGUGUAUUAUUUAUUGUCCUUCUUUCGUCCCCGUAGAAGGUAAGCUCAUGAGGACAGGGAUCUAUUUGUCAUUGCUGUUCAUUGAUGCAGGCAUUACCCAUGAUUCUUCUGUGUCCAGUCCAUCAGCAAGUCUCCAGACUUUGUCCUCCAGAGCCUGGAAUAGUGCCUGAUUUGUGGCCAUCUUGCUUGCAGUUUUGUUAGCAAUUUUUCUCUGGUUUAAUCACAAAAGGGUACCCAUUUAUUAAGCAGAUCAUUGCACUCAGGGCCAGUCAGUGAAAUGAAAAGAAGUAACUGGUCCAGUGGGGUUCAGCUCUCCAUCCUGGCCUCAGAGGCACAGGACUCCACUGCCUUACCCGUAGCAAUCAGACAAGGGAUCCCGCAUCCCCACCUUCAUCUGCACCCCCAUCCUCUGCCUUUCUGUCUCACAAGGUAUGCAGCAUCACAUUCUUAUCAAGGGCCGAGCCCUCCCCACUGCUCAGGCUCCUCAAAGACUGGCUUCUACAACCAAGCUUUUUCUCUCCUCUGAGUGGAGUGUCUCCAUUCAUGAGGUGGUAACCAUCAGAAUGCAAACGAUAUUUUCUAUAUUAAAUCCAUAUCUCACAUACUACCCAUACACUUUUGGGUAAAACACUGGAAAAAACCUGACUUUAAUUCCUUUCCUCACCUCUUUGUUUCUCCUUGGCCAAAUCCAGUAAGGAUUUGUCCUCCCCACUGUACUGAAACUGCUCUUGUCAAGAUCACCAGUGCCCUCCGUCCUGCCAAAUGCCAUGGUCACUAUUCUAUCCUUAUUUGAUUUUACCUGUUGGCAGCUUCCUACACAGUCUUUGCUUUCUGUAAAUUUAUUGACUGAGUUUUUUCCCUAAACAUUGGCCAUUCGUUUUCAUUGCUUUUUCAGGAUCCACCCCCUCCCUCCAUUAGACCUCUAAACAUUAGUGGCUCCGGAACUGAAUCUUUGACCCCAUCCUCUCCUCUCCUCCCUCUCUGCCCUUCUCCCCUCCUUUCCCUCUCUCUCCUCCCAUCCCACCUCUUCUCUAUCAACACUUUCCUCCUAGUGAUCUCAGCUAGUUUGAGUCUUCAGAUGCCAUCUAUAUGCUUUUAACUCCCUGACAAUACCUCUGAUCUCCAGAGCAGAUUACCAGCUGCCCUCUUGACCUGUCUACUAGGUUGUUUGAUAAACAUUCCACACUGUUCAUAGGCACCUUCACUUUUCCACCUUAGCCUCUUCUUCCCCGUUUUUCCUCCGUAUCAGGGAAGUGUCUCUACCAUACACUAAGGUGAAUUAGCCCCAAACCCAGGCGUUGUCCUUGAUUCCUCUCCUUUCCUCUCUUCCUCUACCCAACCCAUUAACAAGUUGAGUUGAUUCUGCCUCCAAGACAUCUCUCGAAUCUGUCUGCUUCUCCCCAUCUCCACUGCCGCCACUCUGACCCAGUUUGACCAGCUCUCCUGGAGCACUGCAAUAAGGGUGAAACUGGGGUCUCUACUCCAUCCUUUGCCCCAUCUGGAAUCUAGCCUCUGCAUAGGAGCCAUAUUUAAAUCAGAUCCCACCAUUCACUGCUUAAAAACACUCCUGUGGCUUCCAGUAGCACCAGGAAUAAAAUACAGAUGCACUGUCGUGGCCCACAAGGCCUCAUGAAUGUCCCUGGCUUUGCCUGACCUCACGUCAUGGCACCUGCCCUGAGCCACCACGCUCCAGGCAUUCUGACCUUCUUUCUCUUCCUUACACAAAAACAGGUUUAUUCCAGCCUCAAGGCCUGCGCGCUCGCUGUUCCCUCUUCCUGAGACCCUGACCGCUGUCUCCUCUUCAGUGUUCAGACUCCAGCCUACUCUUUACCUGCCUGGGGGACGUGUCUUCAGCACUCCAACUAAAGCAGCACCCACCACCUCCUCAACCCUCCACUCUGCUUGUUAUUCUGUUUUAUGUUCUUGAUAGCACUUAUUGCUGUCGGAAUUUGUCUGCUGGAUUUAUUUAUUUCCUGUCUGUUUCAAAGAGUAGACUCAAAUAAAAGCUUUGGGAGAGCAGGGAUUUUGUCUGCCUUGUCCACUGCUCUGUUCUCAGUUCCCAAAACAGUGCGUGGCACUUAUUAGGCCUCAUGGUUUAUAUGUUAAAUACACAAAUGAACGAAUGAAUGAAUGAAUGAAUACAGGGUUGAGAGAACAUGCAGCCGCCUGUAUGAGUACUUGGGGGAUGGUGAGAAGGCUUUUUACUCCUCUGAAAUCUUUCCAUCUUGCCUCCUACUAAUGCCUGAAGUUCCAUUUUUAAAGAAUAAUGUUAACUUUUGCUUCUGGUUAUGAUUUAUCUGUAUAGCCAAAAACAUGCAUAAAACCUGGGGAAAAUAUGUAAAACAAUUUUUAUCUCUCCACUUUGGUCUUCUUUGUGUAUCCAGAAUCUAAGGGCUCAUGCUUUUCACCAAUUCUAGAAGAAUCCUUGGGCAUUAUCUGUUAGAUGUCGUCCACCCCUGUGCUUUCUGUCCUCUCUCAGGGGCUCAUGCUGGACAUUCACUUUCGAGCUCUAUGUCAUUUUCCUUCUCUUUCAUAUGUUUAAUCUCUUUCUCUGUGCUGAAUUCUGGAUUCUUUCCUCGGAUUUACCUUGGCUCACUAAUUCUCCCUUCCCAUGUGUUUAAUCUGCUCUUUAAUUUAGUUUUACAUUCAAUCACGCUAUUUUUCCCUUCUAGAAGUUAAUUUUUUUAAAUUGCAUGGUUUUUGAUAGUUAUUUUCUCAUGUUUUAAAUUUUAUCUUUAAUUAAUUAAUAAGCUUAAAACACAUUUUUAUAGUUAGCCAAUAAUCACAUUAUCUCAAUCCUUAGGAGUCUGACUGGGCUUUUGUUUUUGCUGACUCUUGCUCAUGGUGGCUUGUUUCCUCAUGCUCUGUACUUCUCACUUUUGAGCUCAUGCUCAGCUUGGCUUUAUCUGUGGGAUUCCUGUGGCAUCUGUGCUGAGUACCGUCCCUCCAGGUAUGGUUUAUUUUAGCAUCUGCUAAAAGCUUGAGUUUGUUACUAACCUAGGACCAUUUUAUGUGAAUUUCUUAGUUUGGGGUUUCCAAGGAAACACAGAGAAUGUAAUCAUGGACCCCAAUCCAUAGGCGGGCAGGCUGGGGUUAUGGAUUCUGAGAGGAGACUUUUUUCUAAAGAGCCCUGGAUGAUAUGUGCAGGGAUUAUUUCAUGCCCACUUUGUUGGCGAGCAGCUGUAUUUUUUCCUUUGCUCACCUUCACUGAGGAUGAUAUUUCAAUGUUCUUGGCUUUAUGCAGGAGUCUUGGCUUCAUCCCUCCACCUUGUGUGGUUGAAGGGUUUGUCUCCUGCUCUCACAUGGCUUUUCCACGGGCGAAGAGAAUGAAAGUUAUCCUCGGGGCAGUCUCAUCUUCAACAAUCUCCAGGGAACGCCCUUAUUUCCAUGCAAAGUCAGCUAUACACUGGAGAGACUUGCUAUGUGUGAUCCAGUAUUUUUAUGUGCUUUUUGAUGGCAAGGUUUGUAUAUUAUCUAGUCUACUAUAUUUUCAGAGAUAGAAGUCAUCACUCUUAUAUAAGCCAUGUAUUAGUUAAUGCUUCAUGCCUUUAUAUAUUGACUUUCCUAUUAUUGAUAAUAAUUUUAACCCUUUAGAGAAUUUUAAAGCUCACAAAUCCUUUCCAUAUCUAUUCACCCAUAGGAAUCAUUGCCUUCUUUUUAUAGACAAGGAAACUGGGCUCAGAGUUAAGUGACUUGUCUCAUAAUUAACAAUUUUUUUAUACCUGUUCGGUGUCAGGUACUAUAAAUAUAUUCUGGCAAAGGCUUACAGAAGACCCAUGAAAUGGGCGUUGUUUUCUGUGUCUCAUGAUUGAGAAAGCUCAGUGUCUGAAGGCUUAUGUAACUCAUUUAAGGUCCCAUAGCUGGUCAUACUCAGGCCUGCCUGAUUCAGGAGCCGGUUCUUUCCAGUGCUGUCUCUGCUCAUUCCAUUUUGCCAGACUGCUUUCCUAGAUGUGGGCUCAGUGAGGGCAUUGAUGCAUUAGUGCGAAUCUGUACUCAGAAAGCUCUUUACUAAUAAAUGUGUUCAUUAGUUACCAUCGUUCAUUGGUUAGUUGCAAAUGUGCUCUAUGUGUUUUUUUCAAUCUUAGUUACAUCUGGGGGGAAAGUUCCUUUGGAGUCUUAAAUGACCCAAAUGACCCCAGACACUACCAUUUACUGCUGUCACCUGCUAAAGGUGUAGAACUCUUGCCUAAGGAUUCCUAGCUAGCAUCUCAAGCUGUGGUUUUUAAUCUUUUCUUGUUGAGCCAUGAAUUUAUUUUUCUCAUGCUGUUUCACACAGAAUCCUAACAUAAGUCAGAUAAAUCAGAGCAGUGGCACUUCCUAAGGACUACAUACCGGCCUCCCACCACAGGUCACUUCAUGAUAAAUUUGUAAUCUCAUAAAAAAUAUAUAAACAAGUAAAAAAGAAAUAAAAAUCACUGGUUUUGAUAAACAUAUUCAUCUGUCUACUAAAAUAGCUCCUGAUUCUUAGUUUUUAGUUUCUACUAUUUGUAUCUAUAUAAUUAUGUGAGCCCAGGACAUUGAAAAACCAUGUCUCUAAGAAAGAAAGAAGAAAUUGCCUGUACUCUGAACCUGAUAUGCCGUACCAGUGCUCUUUAAUUCAGUCCAACAUCCUAAUUUGUCAGUCUCAAUGAAACAACAUAGCAUCGAUCAGCCAAAGUCGGAGGUAGGAAACUUGAGACUUCAAAAGAAAUCUCUCCUCUCGGUAAGUCGCUUUGUCUUCUCAUGGGGAAUGCAUCUUUUUUCUCUGCCCCUCUGGAUACUUCCAUGUAAAAGUUUUGGGAGGCCCUGCCUCAGGUCAUUCUAAAGCCAGGAGUUUGGACUCUAAAACCCGAGGUCUUUCCAUUAUACAACAUACUUCCUUGGUCCUUCCUCUUUUCCCCAGCCUGAGAUCAACAUAACUCUAUUUCUUAUUUGAGACCCAAAUCAAGUCUCAUUUUCUCUCAGAAGUGGCUCUUGGCUGUCUCUAUUCAUAAAGAUUUUUCUGUCCUUUGAACUUAGAGCUGACACAUGACUACAAUCCCACUCAAGAUAUAUCCCUUGGGUACCUUUUCUAUCUAUCUGCCCCGUUCCUUUAAAGGCUAUAUGACAUCUCAUUAUUUGUAUAGCAUACUGUUUUUAUUGAAACAUAUUGAAAGACUUUUAUCUUGGUACUACAUUUUGGUAUUACAAACGAUGUGUUGAUUAUCAUGGCACUUUCAUCUUGGCAUAUUUGUUCCAAUAGAUAUGUAGGGUAAAUUCUUACUAUUAAAGCCAUUGGGUUAGAGGGCCGUGGACAUCACAUGUUUUUGAUAGCUACUAGCAGUUAUACGAGAGUGGCUGUUUCUGCACACCCUCACCAAUAUCAGGUGUCAUACAUAGUUAGAUAGAAUUUAUUUGGUUUAUGUGUGUUAGGUUAGGUAAUAAAUAUGUGUACACCCUUUUCUUUUUUCUCUAGAGAAAGGACUUUUUAGGUGUUGUGACACUGAACAAAUUUCAUCUCUCUGAGUCUCAGUUUUCUUAUCUGAAAAAUGGGGUUAAGCACACCUUAAGAAUAUUUAUAGAUUUGUUGUCAAGAUUAAAUAAUACAAUGUAAAAAAAGGACUUGACUCAAUAUUUGGCAAUGCCCAAUAAAUGGCAGGAACAUUCUUCUUGUGUUCUCUGUAGCACUGGAAACACAUGACACUCAAUGAAAACAAGAGGAGGAAAACCAGUUCAUCACUAUGGUACCCAUCAUUUUCUGACUGUUGAGCACAUCCAGAUGCCAUUGUAAGUUCUUCACUUAUUGGCUCAUUUAAUGCUAUUAAAUGUGCUAUUAUUAUCCUUAUUUUACACCAACUUUAGCAUUACAAGCUAUUUGGGAAUGGAUUUGGGAUUGAAACCUAGGCAGUCUGAAUAUAGAACUUGAGAUGGUAAGUAGUCCACCUUUCGGAAAUCAGAUGCUGUACAACAGGUUGCUCACCUUUUGCUCACCUUAGGCUGACGUGCUGCCUUGGGAGCCGCCAUCUUACUAAGGCUGGUCGGCUUCCUCAGCAGGCUUCACCAUUCCUCCCUUGGUGUGAUAUCACACUUAGAAGUGCCACCUGUUGUGGUUCAAAAAAAACACUAUAAUUAAGGAAGACAGUCAGAGGAAAACAAUAAGCAAAGUAAAAAAAAAUCGCAAAGUAAGAAAAGUAAAAAGAAAUAUCACAAUUUAUUCAAACACUGAUUUGAUACGUACUGGAUACUAUAUAAAGCCCUACAUCUAAAGAUAAAGCUCCACGUGAGUCUCCUCAGCCAAAUUUUACAGUAGUCCUUUAGCAGCAUGCCUUCAAUAAGUCAUGGGCUUGUGUGUUUUCAUGUGAGUAUUUAAAACGGUGUUUUAAAAUAAGUAUAAAUAUUCAUUGUUUGGCCUCACCUUCUAGAAUUUCUGUGUCGGCGUCAGGAGGGGAAGACUGUAGUAAGAAUUGUGCAUCUUAAUUUUGAAAUGGAGAACAUUCCCCAAAGCCCAAAGCAUACAGGUGAUUUUAUUUUAAGGCGGGGAUGAUAGACGAUGGUGAUCUUUCUCAUUUUACAAAUGAACAUUGAGGCUGCGAAUGUCAGACAGCAGGUGGGAACUUUUGUUGUGCUAUCAGGACAAAGGGAAGCAGGUUUGUGGAGCGUGACCUUGGGCUUUCAAAAGGGAUCCUGAUUCAAAAUUGAUAAACCUUUAGCUAGACUCACUAAGAAAAAAGAGAGAGAAGGCUAAAAUAAAUAAAAUUAAAAAUGA